GAUGAACGCUGGCGGCGUGCCUAAUACAUGCAAGUCGAGCGAACAGACGAGGAGCUUGCUCCUCUGACGUUAGCGGCGGACGGGUGAGUAACACGUGGAUAACCUACCUAUAAGACUGGGAUAACUUCGGGAAACCGGAGCUAAUACCGGAUAAUAUAUUGAACCGCAUGGUUCAAUAGUGAAAGACGGUUUUGCUGUCACUUAUAGAUGGAUCCGCGCCGCAUUAGCUAGUUGGUAAGGUAACGGCUUACCAAGGCGACGAUGCGUAGCCGACCUGAGAGGGUGAUCGGCCACACUGGAACUGAGACACGGUCCAGACUCCUACGGGAGGCAGCAGUAGGGAAUCUUCCGCAAUGGGAGAAAGCCUGACGGAGCAACGCCGCGUGAGUGAUGAAGGUCUUCGGAUCGUAAAACUCUGUUAUUAGGGAAGAACAAAUGUGUAAGUAACUAUGCACGUCUUGACGGUACCUAAUCAGAAAGCCACGGCUAACUACGUG
rnacentral:rRNA from 1 species